CUUUCUCCCCACCUUCACCAGCCCCCCAAAAUCCUCCGUCUUUUCAGAAAAUCUACCUCAGUGGGUCGUGUACCUGAGGAUAAACACAACAGCCAGGGAGAUCUGCUCCAGCAUCCAGAAGGACCUUCCGGGUUUAAGCUGCCAUCCAUCGCAAAGCUGGAAUGUUGGAGCCCCCUAUGUGUAAGGCGACGCUAAGACUAUUCUCUGAAGAAAAGUUCCUGCCUGCCAGGAUUUGAGAGAACAUCAAGAAUUAAUUCGGUAAUUCUACUCCUCAGAACAUACUUAUGGAAGCGCAUCCCAUACACCCACACUGUACACACACAGACACACACAAAGGAGGUGCUCGCUGG
rnacentral:lncRNA from 12 species